AUUGAACGCUGGCGGCAGGCCUAACACAUGCAAGUCGAGCGGAUGAGAGGAGCUUGCUCCUCGAUUCAGCGGCGGACGGGUGAGUAAUGCCUAGGAAUCUGCCCAGUAGUGGGGGACAACGUUUCGAAAGGAACGCUAAUACCGCAUACGUCCUACGGGAGAAAGUGGGGGAUCUUCGGACCUCACGCUAUUGGAUGAGCCUAGGUCGGAUUAGCUAGUUGGUAGGGUAAAGGCCUACCAAGGCGACGAUCCGUAACUGGUCUGAGAGGAUGAUCAGUCACACUGGAACUGAGACACGGUCCAGACUCCUACGGGAGGCAGCAGUGGGGAAUAUUGGACAAUGGGCGCAAGCCUGAUCCAGCCAUGCCGCGUGUGUGAAGAAGGCCCUCGGGUCGUAAAGCACUUUAAGUUGGGAGGAAGGGCUUACAGCGAAUACCUGUGAGUUUUGACGUUACCGACAGAAUAAGCACCGGCUAACUUCGUGCCAGCCGCCGUAAGAC
rnacentral:rRNA from 1 species